rnacentral:rRNA from 1 species
GGCCCGCACAAGCGGUGGAGCAUGUGGUUUAAUUCGAUGCAACGCGAAGAACCUUACCUGGUCUUGACAUCCACAGAACUUAGCAGAGAUGGUUUGGUGCCUUCGGGAACUGUGAGACAGGUGCUGCAUGGCUGUCGUCAGCUCGUGUUGUGAAAUGUUGGGUUAAGUCCCGCAACGAGCGCAACCCUUAUCCUUUGUUGCCAGCGGUUAGGCCGGGAACUCAAAGGAGACUGCCAGUGAUAAACUGGAGGAAGGUGGGGAUGACGUCAAGUCAUCAUGGCCCUUACGACCAGGGCUACACACGUGCUACAAUGGCGCAUACAAAGAGAAGCGACCUCGCGAGAGCAAGCGGACCUCAUAAAGUGCGUCGUAGUCCGGAUUGGAGUCUGCAACUCGACUCCAUGAAGUCGGAAUCGCUAGUAAUCGUAGAUCAGAAUGCUACGGUGAAUACGUUCCCGGGCCUUGUACACACCGCCCGUCGACACCAUGGGAGUGGGUUGCAAAAGAAGUA